rnacentral:rRNA from 1 species
AAAACGACUCUCGGCAACGGAUAUCUAGGCUCUUGCAUCGAUGAAGAACGUAGCGAAAUGCGAUACUUGGUGUGAAUUGCAGAAUCCCGUGAACCAUCGAGUCUUUGAACGCAAGUUGCGCCCGAAGCCUUCUGGCCGAGGGCACGUCUGC